rnacentral:rRNA from 1 species
UGGGGAAUCUUGCGCAAUGGGCGAAAGCCUGACGCAGCCAUGCCGCGUGAAUGAUGAAGGUCUUAGGAUUGUAAAAUUCUUUCACCGGGACGAUAAUGACGGUACCCGGAGAAGAAGCCCCGGCUAACUUCGUGCCAGCAGCCGCGGUAAUACGAAGGGGGCUAGCGUUGCUCGGAAUUACUGGGCGUAAAGGGAGCGUAGGCGGACAUUUAAGUCAGGGGUGAAAUCCCGGGGCUCAACCUCGGAAUUGCCUUUGAUACUGGGUGUCUUGAGUGUGAGAGAGGUAUGUGGAACUCCGAGUGUAGAGGUGAAAUUCGUAGAUAUUCGGAAGAACACCAGUGGCGAAGGCGACAUACUGGCUCAUUACUGACGCUGAGGCUCGAAAGCGUGGGGAGCAAACAGGAUUAGAUACCCUGGUAGUCCACGCCGUAAACGAUGAUUGCUAGUUGUCGGGAUGCAUGCAUUUCGGUGACGCAGCUAACGCAUUAAGCAAUCCGCCCUGGGGAGUACGGUCGCAAGAUUAAAAACUCAAAUGAAUUGACGGGGUCAUAGCUGUUUCCUG